rnacentral:rRNA from 1 species
AACGAACGCUGGCGGCAUGCCUAACACAUGCAAGUCGAACGAGACCUUCGGGUCUAGUGGCGCACGGGUGCGUAACGCGUGGGAACCUGCCCUUAGGUUCGGAAUAACUCCCCGAAAGGGGUGCUAAUACCGGAUAAUGUCUUCGGACCAAAGAUUUAUCGCCUUUGGAUGGGCCCGCGUUGGAUUAGCUAGUUGGUAGGGUAAAAGCCUACCAAGGCGACGAUCCAUAGCUGGUCUGAGAGGAUGAUCAGCCACACUGGGACUGAGACACGGCCCAGACCCCUACGGGAGGCAGCAGUUGGGAAUAUUGGACAAUGGGCGAAAGCCUGAUCCAGCAAUGCCGCGUGAGUGAUGAAGGCCUUAGGGUUGUAAAGCUCUUUUACCCGGGAUGAUAAUGACAGUACCGGGAGAAUAAGCUCCGGCUAACUCCGUG